UACAGAGAGUGCGAGCGUUAAUCGGAAUUACUGGGCGUAAAGCGCGCGUAGGUGGGUGUCUAAGUCGAAUGUGAAAUCCCUGGGCUUAACCUAGGAAUUGCAUCCGAUACUAUUCACCUUGAGUAUGGUAGAGGGAAGUGGAAUUUCCGGUGUAGCGGUGAAAUGCGUAGAUAUCGGAAGGAACACCAGUGGCGAAGGCGGCUUCCUGGACCAAUACUGACACUGAGGUGCGAAAGCGUGGGGAGCAAACAGG
rnacentral:rRNA from 1 species